UUAGGACCCUGGAUGAUUCCCAAAAGCAGC
rnacentral:piRNA from 1 species